UACGGAGGGUGCGAGCGUUGUUCGGAAUUACUGGGCGUAAAGGGCGCGUAGGCGGUUCGAUAAGUCAGCUGUGAAAACCAUGGGCUUAACUCAUGGCCUGCAGUUGAGACUGUCGGGCUGGAGUGUGGGAGAGGAGAGUGGAAUUCCUGGUGUAGCGGUGAAAUGCGUAGAUAUCAGGAGGAACACCGGUGGCGAAGGCGGCUCUCUGGACCACAACUGACGCUGAGGCGCGAAAGCUAGGGGAGCAAACAGG
rnacentral:rRNA from 1 species